UAGGGAAUCUUCCGCAAUGGACGCAAGUCUGACGGAGCAACGCCGCGUGAGUGAAGAAGGUUUUCGGAUCGUAAAACUCUGUUGUAAGAGAAGAACAAAUUGUAGAGUAACUGCUACAGUCUUGACGGUAUCUUACCAGAAAGCCACGGCUAACUACGUGCCAGCAGCCGCGGUAAUACGUAGGUGGCAAGCGUUGUCCGGAUUUAUUGGGCGUAAAGGGGGCGCAGGCUGCUUCUUAAGUCUGAUGUGAAAGCCCACGGCUUAACCGUGGAAGUGCAUUGGAAACUGGGAAGCUUGAGUACAGAAGAGGAAAGUGGAACUCCAUGUGUAGCGGUGGAAUGCGUAAAUAUAUGGAAGAACACCAGUGGCGAAAGCGACUUUCUGGUCUGUCACUGACGCUGAGGCCCGAAAGCGUGGGUAGCAAACAGG
rnacentral:rRNA from 1 species